AUAAUCACAUGAUUAGUAUGGUAAAGUUCCGACGGAAAGAGAUGGACAUGCGUGUCAUUAGUUAGUUGGUGAGGUAACGGCUCACCAAGACGACGAUGACUAGGGGUUCUGAAAGGAUGAUCCCCCACACUGGUACUGAGACACGGACCAGACUCCUACGGGAGGCAGCAGUGAGGAAUAUUGCGCAAUGGAGGCAACUCUGACGCAGCCAUGCCGCGUGCAGGAGGACGGCCCUACGGGUUGUAAACUGCUUUUCUUAACUAAGAACCGUGGAUAAUCUUAUCCACCUGACUGGUUUUGGAAUAAGCAUCGGCUAACUCCGUGCCAGCAGCCGCGGUAAUACGGAGGAUGCAAGCGUUAUCCGGAUUCACUAGGUUUAAAGGGUGCGUAGGCGGAAUAAUAAGUCAGUGGUGAAAUCUUGCGGCUCAACCGUAAAAUUGCCAUUGAUACUGUUAUUCUUGAGUAUGGUUGAGGUAGGCGGAAUGAGUAAUGUAGCGGUGAAAUGCUUAGAUAUUACUCAGAACACCGAUUGCGUAGGCAGCUUACCAAGCCAUCACUGACGCUGAGGCACGAAAGCGUGGGUAGCAAACAGGAUUAGAUACCCUGGUAGUCCACGCCGUAAACGUUGAUUACUCGUUGUUGGCAAUACACCGUCAGCGACUGAGCAAAAGCAUUAAGUAAUCCACCUGGGGAGUACGUCAGCAAUGAUGAAACUCAAAGGAAUUGACGGGGGCCCGCACAAGCGGAGGAACAUGUGGUUUAAUUCGAUGAUACGCGAGGAACCUUACCUGGGCUUAAAUGUUUAGUGACCGACCGGGAGACCGGUUUUUCCUUCGGGACACUUUACAAGGUGCUGCAUGGUUGUCGUCAGCUCGUGCCGUGAGGUGUCGGNUUAAGUCCCAUAACGAGCGCAACCCCUAUCGCCAGUUGCCAGCACAUAAUGGUGGGAACUCUGGUGAAACUGCCGGUGCAAACCGUGAGGAAGGUGGGGAUGACGUCAAAUCAGCACGGCCCUUAUGUCCAGGGCUACACACGUGUUACAAUGGUCGGUACAACAGGAUGCCAAUCCGCAAGGAUGAGCUAAUCCCAAAAGCCGAUCUUAGUUCGGAUCGGAGUCUGCAAUUCGACUCCGUGAAGUUGGAUUCGCUAGUAAUCGCAGAUCAGC
rnacentral:rRNA from 1 species